GAUUUUAAAAUCCAAAACUAAAGACAGUGCUAUGUCUUCGGUACCGGUGUGUGUUAUCGUCUGCCGGUUCUAUCCUCAAUCGCUGUCACAUUC